ensembl:lncRNA
GUCGUAGGUAGCAAUGUGAUUAUGUGAUGACUGUGCUGUGAUUGCAUUUCUUUUGCAACAGGACUGUAUGCAAAGCUAAGUGGUUCACCUGUUUGUCUAGGACUGAUGAAGCUGCUGGAAGGUAGAAUUAAUCUGAAGAGUAAUAUUCCUGUUUUCAAGGAGCCCAAAUUGCUUUCAGAGACAAAGCUGCCAUGUGGUGUGGAGCCAACCUUCAGCAUUCAUGACAUAACCCUUCUGCAAAGCAGGAAGUGUAAAAUGGCAGCCAAGGGGGAACUGAACAAGACUGCCAAGUCUGAAAGAGUUCUUGGUUGCACAGAAGGAAACCUAGUGACGGAGUCUCCAGGAAAGAGAGUUCACUGUCAUUCUGAAAGGCUGAAAUAAAUCUGCUAUUCUCAUUCUGUGAUGAUAGAGUACAACAGCGUUUCUGAUAAAAAGCUUUUCUCUGUUCAUUCCAGGUUAGCCUCCUCAUUUCUUUUCACAAAUGGGCAAAAGAAAGCAUCACCAAUGUCUUUAACUUUUCCAAAAUCUCAUGAGAAACACAGGAUAUAGCUGGCAAUAAAAACUCAAUAUAAGAAAUAAUAUCA